GACGAACGCUGGCGGCGUGCCUAAUACAUGCAAGUCGAACGCAGUGGGGACGGGUGAGUAACACGUGGGUAACCUCCCAUCAGAGGGGAUAACACUUGGAAACAGGUGCUAAACCGAUACUGAUGGAUGGACCCGCGGUGCAUUAGCUAGUUGGUGAGGUAACGGCUCACCAAGGCCACGAUGCAUAGACGACCGGAGGGAGUGAGCGGACAGUGUGAGACCAACGCACCGACCAGGGUCAUACGGGGGGCAACAGUAGAGAAUCGUGUGCAAUGGAAGAAAGUCUGACCAAGCAGCGCCGCGUGAGGGAAGAAGGUUUUCGAUUCGGAAAACUCUGUUGUUAGAGAACCGGUAGCUAACCAGAGAGCCGCGGCUAACGACGUGCCAGCAGCCGCUGUGAUUC
rnacentral:rRNA from 1 species